UGCCAUACAGUGCUUUGCUGAGCAGGACAAGAAGGGGGUCAUUUGGUGUAAAGGUAUUUGGAGGGAGAGUAGCCAUAGAACAGUGUAAUCAUUGUCUUUACUGUAACGUUACAUGUAGCAGUUUCUCACCUUUAUGUCAUAAGUAAGCUGAUGUCAUAAGUAAGACUUAGUUAUUAAUAAAUACAUGACUCCACACCUACACACACAGACCAUUUCUGCUUCCUUUCUCGCUCACUUUUUGUAUUAUUGUUGGCUUCCUAUUGGUGGAAAUGGAGGGGGCAAUAUGUCAAUGUUUCCUUCCAUACGGUCCUUUCCCUUAAAUAAACCCAGAUGUUCAGUAUAAAAGGGGAUUGGAGCUCACAGCAGUCUGAGACCAAGGAUUUCCACUCACGGUAGGGACUUUGAUAUGCAUUACUUUGAACAUCUUUGUAAAAAAAAUAUAUGAAUAGCACUGUAAUUAGGGAGAACAGAUCUGACUGAUAAUGUGACGAUGCGUAUUGUGGUCCAAGAGCUCAUUUGUUUGGGGUACGAAACUUCAGCAACAAUUGGAUUUUCAUAACAGUAAAGUUUGGCUUUUGUUCAGAAUAUAAAUUAUGGAAGCACAAAAGUAUUGUAAAUUACACAUUAUUAAUGCCGUCGUAGGGAUAACAUUAUUAGCAUUUCUAAGAGUUGAUUUCAGUGCAACAGCUUUGGAGUUGGUCUGUGUUUUGACCCUGCUUUUGGGGUAAAUGGGUGGAGUUUGCAAUAUAUUUGUGUGGGGAGGGGGACGUGUGUAUCCUCUGUAAACAGUGACAAGAGACUGAUUGCUCCUUGAGGAACAUGAAAGCAGAUUAGAUAGGAAUGCCUGAACUGAACUCCCAUCUGUCAUGUGCUGGGGAUGUGGUCAAGGUCCCCACACAUGCCAGAGAUGAGUAGCUUCGCGAAGCCGCCUGAUCCCGCAAUAUUAAAUUAAACGCUGUGCGGACAUCCGCGUAGCGUUUAAUGUAAGCUUGCGGGAUCAGACGUCUUUGCGAGGCUAAGAGAUGAGGACACGUUGAGAGGAAAUGAACUGUCUUAGGACAAGAUUGCCUGUAUCUGUGUGUGUGUGUGUCAAUGAGCAUUGCGUGGCACAGCGUCAGACCUGACAGAUGCAGAUAACUCCAAGGAAAACAGAACACAGAGGGACAGGACAUGAGUCCUUUGGCAGUGAAAGGUUCCUUGAGUUAUUGCUGUGAAAACAUGUCACUAAUAUGAAAAACAGUGUAUUGUUUUGUCUGAAAAGAAUACAGCAGAUAAAUGAUUUGUAAUCUAGUUGUCGUUACUAAGUUUACAGCUGUCAUGUCCUGAUGAGAUUUGUGACAGUAUUGUUAUGUUGUGCUUUGGAGGCAUUUGCAUAUAAGAUAUCAACGCAACUGUUCUGGACCCUGUCUCUGAUUGGUCAGAGCCUGGAGGAGCACUGUAACCGGAUCCUUCGGGACGUGGAGGGCUCCCUUACGGCCCGGGAUCGCGUGGGCAUCCAGGAUUUCGUUUUUCUGAAUGCCUACACCAGUGAGAGUGCCUUCCUGGACAACUUGAGGAAACGCUUCCACAAUAACCUAAUUUACACCUACGCUGGUACGUCCUAGUGUCAGUCAAUCCCUACAAAGAUCUGGGAAUCUACACCAAGAAGCAGAUGGACAUUUACAUGGGAGUGUACUUUUUUGUGCUUCCACCCCAUAUCUACGCCCUGGCAGACAAUGUCUGUGGAGGUUCGAGUUGCCAAAUGUCAGCCUUGAAACCUUAAUGACUUGGAGAAGAUCUGCAAAGAGGAGUGGGACAAAAUCCCUCCUGAGAUGUGUGCAAACCUGGUGGCCAACUACAAGAAACGUCUGACCUCUGUGAUUGCCAACAAGGGUUUUGCCACCAAGUACUAAGUCAUGUUUUGCAGAGGGGUCAAAUACUUAUUUCCCUCAUUAAAAUGCAAAUCAUUUUA